GACGAACGCUGGCGGCGUGCUUAACACAUGCAAGUCGAGCGGUAAGGCCCUUUCGGGGGUACACGAGCGGCGAACGGGUGAGUAACACGUGGGUGACCUGCCCUCAGCUCUGGGAUAAGCCUGGGAAACCGGGUCUAAUACCGGAUAUGACUCCAUGACGCAUGUUGUGGGGUGGAAAGCCUUGUGCGGCUGAGGAUGGGCCCGCGGCCUAUCAGCUUGUUGGUGGGGUGAUGGCCUACCAAGGCGACGACGGGUAGCCGGCCUGAGAGGGCGACCGGCCACACUGGGACUGAGACACGGCCCAGACUCCUACGGGAGGCAGCAGUGGGGAAUAUUGGACAAUGGGCGCAAGCCUGAUCCAGCCAUGCCGCGUGGGUGAUGAAGGCCCUAGGGUGUAAAGCCCUUUCGGCGGGAAGAUAAUGACGGUACCCGCAGAAGAAG
rnacentral:rRNA from 1 species